rnacentral:rRNA from 1 species
AACGGCCAUACCAUGCUGAAUAUACCGGUUCUCAUGAGAUCACCGAAGUCAAGCAUCAUUGGGCGCGGUCAGUACUUGGGUGGGGGACCACCUGGGAACACCGCGUGCCGUU